rnacentral:rRNA from 1 species
UACGUAGGGAGCAAGCGUUGUCCGGAUUCAUUGGGCGUAAAGAGCUCGUAGGCGGUUCGGUAAGUCGGAUGUGAAACCCCCAGGCUUAACCUGGGGCCGCCAUCCGAUACUGCCGUGACUAGAGUCCGGUAGGGGCCCACGGAACUCCUGGUGUAGCGGUGAAAUGCGCAGAUAUCAGGAAGAACACCGAUGGCGAAGGCAGUGGGCUGGGCCGGUACUGACGCUGAGGAGCGAAAGCGUGGGGAGCAAACAGG